rnacentral:rRNA from 1 species
GACGAACGCUGGCGGCGUGCUUAACACAUGCAAGUCGAACGGAAAGGCCCUGCUUUUGUGGGGUGCUCGAGUGGCGAACGGGUGAGUAACACGUGAGUAACCUGCCCUUGACUUUGGGAUAACUUCAGGAAACUGGGGCUAAUACCGGAUAGGAGCUCCUGCUGCAUGGUGGGGGUUGGAAAGUUUCGGCGGUUGGGGAUGGACUCGCGGCUUAUUAGCUUGUUGGUGGGGUAGUGGCUUACCAAGGCUUUGACGGGUAGCCGGCCUGAGAGGGUGACCGGCAACAUUGGGACUGAGAUACGGCGCAGACUCCUACGGGAGGCAGCAGUGGGGAAUAUUGCACAAUGGGCGGAAGCCGGAUGCAGCAACGCCGCGUGCGGGAUGACGGACUUCGGGUUGUAAACAGCUUUCGCCUGUGACGAAGCGUGAGUGACGGUAAUGGGUAAAGAAGCACCGGCUAACUACGUG